CGCUCUUUAAGUUGGAAGAGCCAUCUUAAAUGGAAACUACAUCGGUCGCUCGCCUCUCACAUACACCAAAGUAACAUGCGCCUAUUUUAAUCUGAUUAAUGCUUUUGAGAUUUCCUUCUAAUUGACUUGGACUUUGCAGAGGUGCGCUUGUAGGUCUCUUCAACACAUUUUCUCCACAGUGUUGUUCACGCACGGGAGUAUUGCAGCGUUUCGGUUUAUUUUGGCCAGUUUAUUGAAACGAUCAAAAGUGAGCACCGUAGCCUACCUCAUCCCUGACCAUUCAAAAGCCUGUAUGUGAACAAGACAGCCGACAGCAAUGCCGCAGAAGUAAAUCACAGCGUACCGAUGCAAAGUGGAUUUUACCCCAAGAUCAAGACCUCUGCAGGACUGUGACGAGGGCAGAGGACACGGCCACUGUGGGAACCGAAGAAUGCUGAGUGGUGACGUUGACUUCAACACCAAAUGCAUGAUGGGAGGAGGAACUUGUGACAAAGCAGGGAAGGUAGGCCUUAAUGUAUGCUUUUGAACCACUGGAGCAACUAACCUGUAAUAGAUUCUUUUAUAGGUAAAAGGAUCAUUGGCUCAACUGACAACGAACUGCUUGAAAUCAGCGUAUUGUAAUUCUACAUAUACUGUUAUGAUGUAUGAUUAAAUGAUGCAACUGAAGAAGACGUAGCACUGUAUUUCAAGACAAGAAAAUCUUUUCUUGACGACAGUAGAAAUGUUUUUUUAUCAACUGUACAAUAAUUUCUGCCAGACGCACAAGUAAAUAAACAUGGGUC
rnacentral:lncRNA from 1 species